rnacentral:antisense_RNA from 2 species
CUUGACCGAGCCGAGCAGCAGCGGCCGGUGCCGGUCGCGCCCGUAGGUGGCGAGCAGCGCGUGUGCCUC